rfam:Schistosoma mattheei strain Denwood, Zambia genome assembly, scaffold: SMTD_scaffold0004964
AUCCAGCUGACGAGUCCUAAAUAGGACGAAAUGUGCGUCAGACUGAAU